rnacentral:tRNA from 2 species
GCCCGGGUAGCUCAGUCGGUAGAGCAGAGGAUUGAAAAUCCUCGUGUCGGCAGUUCGAUUCUGUCCCCGGGCACCA